GUUGUCCUGCUGUCCCAGCUGCCUGAGUGAAUUCUUGCAGGCUCAUACUACACAGAUGUUCCCCGUUGAUAUCAAACUCCUGGAAAGGAGAAAGAACUUUCCAAUAACUGCAAAUGAAACUAUACAGUAGACUACAAGCCAUGCUCAGAAAAUCCUUCACAUAGAAGGAUACACGUAAUGUUACAGCAAGGCAAUCUGUGAUUCAGUGACCACUAGCAAGGAGGAUUUAAUUUCUCAUAGUGGAUUUCCAAACCGAAAGAUCCUAUCACACUUUGAUUCGGCAACUGAAGAUUUGGCUUUGACUAGUAUCCAGCAAUGCUUUCAUUACUGUCUACACCACCUCAGCAAGUUCAUGAUAAUUUGGGUCAACCAUUUUUUCCUGAAUAUUUAGAAGUCAUUUGCCAUAGAUUCAUCAGGCUAGCCUCAGGGAUACAGAGUCUUGGAAACACAAUAAUGGGAAAAACUCCCUUUGCUCUUUAUUCUUCUUUCAGCACUUAAUACCACACCUCAUGGAACAACUCCACACCUCCUUUCAUGUCCUUCCUAUCUCUCUGGUACAUCCUUCCUCUAAGCAGGAGCCAGCUCAUCUCCCUAAUCUCCUUUUGCUAAACAUCUUUCUUUUGCUUACAAUACACUAAAUAUACAAAUGGCCAAAAAGCACUCUAGAUGGCCCUAUAACUUGACAAGCCACACGUCUAUAAUUACGCGUGAACCUCAUCAGCUAACAAAAUAUUACCAUCAUGUUCUAACACCUUCUCCUAUUCCCUUGGCUCUGGUUCCCCAACCACUUCCCUCCACCUUCCACGACAGCUCCUCUUUGCAUUGCUUUAAAGACUAACAGCAUAUUGAGGGAAAUGUUUUCCAUACUGCUAAUAUAGCCUGUGUGACUGUUCAGUUGUUAGUGAAUAAUGACAAUAAUAACAGUAAUAAUUGUGUUUGUAUUCAUGUUUGGCUCUCAUUAGAUGCUGACUCGUUGCUGACAUAAUAGCCACUCAGAUCUAUGCUGCUGCAGCAGCCAGUAUUUCAUGUGGAAGUUCACUUUAACCACUAUCACCACCAACACUUCUCUUUUGUUAUGGGACUAGUUUGGUUUUCAGCAGUAACAACCACUAAUUUGCCUACU